GAAGAACUUAGUUCUAGAUUUGUAUUUUUACAAACAUUGCAAUGAGUGGCGAACGGGUGAGUAACACGUGGGAAACCUACCUCUUAGCAGGGGAUAACAUUUGGAAACAAAUGCUAAUACCGUAUAAUAAUUAAAACCGCAUGGUUUUAGUUUAAAAGAUGGUCUUGCUAUCACUAAGAGAUGGUCCCGCGGUGUAUUAGUUAGUCGGUGAGGUAAUGGCUCACCAAGACAAUGAUACAUAGCCGAGUUGAGAGACUGACCGGCCACAAUGGGACUGAGACACGGCCCAUACUCCUACGGGAGGCAGCAGUAGGGAAUCUUCCACAAUGGACGAAAGUCUGAUGGAGCAACGCCGCGUGUGUGAUGAAGGGUUUCGGCUCGUAAAACACUGUUGUAAGAGAAGAAUGACAUUGAGAGUAACUGUUCAAUGUGUGACGGUAUCUUACCAGAAAGGAACGGCUAAAUACGUG
rnacentral:rRNA from 1 species